UUUGAGGCAUCAUGUACCUCUGAGGGGGCAUAGAGUCCCUCUGGUCCCUCUGUGUGCACUUCAUUCUUCAGGGGAGAAAAUAUGGUAAAGAAUUUGCCAGGUGCUUUGCUUUUCAUGCCCUAAUUUUUGCUUAAGAUGGUCUCCCAUCCAAGAGCCAGCCAAUUUCAGGUCAUAAGUUUCCAAGCUGUGGGGGGGUUAUCAGUUCUGAAUGCUAUCUCACCACUUUGAAAAUUGAAUUUCAGAUGCCUUAAACAGCAYUGGCAGAGGGAAAUGAAGCUGUUCUUUUGGAAAAUGGAGUGACUCACAUCAAAACAAGCUCACAUUGACKGAUGUUCCUGGACCAAAGACCAUCCUGGAAGCAAAGCUCAGCUCUGGAUUUGGGUCAAGUUCAUCUCCAGUAACGUGGGCCGAGCUGGUGCAGUAUGGAAGAGGUUCCAUGUGCCUGGCAGGAGAUCCUUGAAGUCAUCCAUCAGAAGAGCAGAUUCCUAAGCAGUUGUUCAAAAGUUCUCUCACUGGAUUUACAWGCCUGACCCCAACUGAUCUUGCAAUUGCAGGAGGACCCCAUUGUUUUUAGUUCUCUUUCAAAAAUCUCUGUUUUCUCUACAUCCAAUUUUAACUUCAAGCAAGAGAGAAGCUUGAAAAAUGAAAUAUUAUUUGUGCUGAGUCUUCUUCAAUAAUUGGUGCAAAUAGGUGAGAAAUCCUAUCAAAAUAUUAUUCAAUUAAUUUUUCAAAUACCAGAGAUAAUUUCAAAUAAUGUAUUUCAGACAGGGAACAUGCUGUCUUCUCUUCCCACUCCACCCAAUUAAAAAAACAGUUCUGCUACAGAUUUUUCACCUCAAAUGCUUAAGCUGAGGGAGACUAACUAUCCCAAAYACAGAUCCAUGCUUUG